rfam:Perkinsus marinus ATCC 50983 gcontig_1104296732352, whole genome shotgun sequence.
GACAGUUUGGCCGAGUGGUCUAAGGCGCUGGCUUAUGGCGCCAGUCCGAAAGGGCGUGGGUUCGAACUCCACAGCUGCCA